ACUCCUGCGGGAGGCAGCAGUGGGGAAUUUUGGACAAUGGGCGAAAGCCUGACCCAGCAAUGCCGCGUGUGUGAAGAAGGCCUUCGGGUUGUAAAGCACUUUUGUCCGGAAAGAAAUCCUUGGCUCUAAUACAGUCGGGGGAUGACGGUACCGGAAGAAUAAGCACCGGCUAACUACGUGCCAGCAGCCGCGGUAAUACGUAGGGUGCGAGCGUUAAUCGGAAUUACUGGGCGUAAAGCGUGCGCAGGCGGUUUGCUAAGACCGAUGUGAAAUCCCCGGGCUCAACCUGGGAACUGCAUUGGUGACUGGCAGGCUAGAGUAUGGCAGAGGGGGGUAGAAUUCCACGUGUAGCAGUGAAAUGCGUAGAGAUGUGGAGGAAUACCGAUGGCGAAGGCAGCCCCCUGGGCCCAUACUGACGCUCAUGCACGAAAGCGUGGGGAGCAAACAGGAUUAGAAACCCUUGUAGUCCC
rnacentral:rRNA from 1 species